GUGUAAAAUAAAUACACCCACAUUAAAUAUUGUUUAAAACGCAUUGUAUAUUUUGCUUGCUCAUAUGCUAAAUCACUUCAAUUCAUUGGCUAUUGUUUCAAAAUACCGUUUUAACGUUUAAUUCUACUUUAUAUUAACAUCCUAAUUCAAUACAAAUUUGUGCGAGGUAAAAAACCCACCUGUAUCAAACAGGACGGAGAAUAUAUAAAUAUAUACAUACAAUUCACACGAUCAAGGAACAAAUGAAAUAUUUCGCUAAACUAAAGCCUUGGCCAAACGUAAGAAACAAUGUAGCGGAAAUAUUCGUGAUUUUGAAUUGGCUUUUAUUGCAGAAGCAAAAUUUGCUUCACAAAAUUUCCUACCAAAUUCAGAAGCAUUUGAUGAAACACUCUUUAUCCGUUUGCCGACGCUGAUAAGACAAUAUGACAUACCGAAAGAAUGGAAAGACAAAUAAUAUGACAACAGUGUUUCCCAGUUCGUCCCCGGCUUUAAGGGAUGUUUAUAUAAACUCCUAGGAAAACCUCUGAUUGUAUCUUUAAUGUAUUAUUGAAUAACUAUGCAAGAUGUUUGGCGCUUCUUAAACUGUGCGUUCCACCAUCGUUUAGUAUACUCUAUGGAUACCAA